GGUGAGGUAGCCAAGCGGUUAGGCAAUGGUUUGCAAAACCAUCAGACGCGAGUUCGAAUCUCGUCCUCACCUCCA
rnacentral:tRNA from 1 species